GACGAACGCUGGCGGCGUGCUUAACACAUGCAAGUCGAACGGAAAGGCCCUGCUUUUGUGGGGUGCUCGAGUGGCGAACGGGUGAGUAACACGUGAGUAACCUGCCCGUGACUUUGGGAUAACUUCAGGUAACUGGGGCUAAUACCGGAUAGGAGCUCUUGCUGCAUGGUGGGGGUUGGCAAGUUUCGGCGGUUGGGGUUGGACUGGCGGGUUAUCAGUUUGUUGGUGGGGUAGUGGCUUACCAGGGCUUUGACGGGUAGCCGGCCUGAGCGGGUGACCGGCCACAUUGGGACUAAGAUAGGGCCCAGACUCCUACGGGAGGCAGCAGUGGGGAAUAUUGCACAAUGGGCGGAAGCCUGAUGCAGAAACGCCGCGUGCGGGAUAACGGCCUUCGGUUGGUAAACCGCUUUCGCCUGUGACAAAGUGUGAGUGACGGUAAUGGGUAAAGAAGCACCGGCUAACUACGUG
rnacentral:rRNA from 1 species